GCGGGGGGGGGGGGGGGGCUCAGAGCCGGGCUUGGGGUGUCAGUGUAGCGACUAACAGGGAGGCGCCGGGCUGUUGCCGUGGCAACAGGGAACAUCGUCAUAGAGACGGGGCUCCGGCAUCCUCACGCCCGCGUGUCCCGUGAAAAGAUAGGGACAGCAGGACCGCAGGGUGUCUAGUUGCCAUGACAACCACACAAGUGUGACAGUUCAGGGGUCUAGUGACCAGCGGCCAUGGCAACCAAGGACCAGUGACCACCCAGCGCCCUAGGGACCAGCAGCCAUGGCAACUGAGGAAAAGGAACAGCCCAGCACCAGCCCAGGGGCCUGCAGACCAGCAACCAUGGCAAGGUAGGAAGGGUGACAGCUUAGUUCCAUGGUGGCCAGUGGGCAUGGCAACCGAGAAGCAGUGACAGCCCAAUGCCACAGUGACCAGCAGCCACGGUAACCAAGGAACAGUGACAGCACAGUGCCCUGGGGACCAGCAGCCAUGGCAACCAAGGCACAGUGACAACACCCAAAGGCAGUGACAGCCACCCAACCUGGCACCCAGUAGGGCUGACAGCUACCCAGUCUGGAUCAGCAAUCGUUGUUCACAGCUGAGUGGCCUGGUGCCCAGCAGUGGGGACAGCCAGGGAGCCUAGUGGCAGCGGUAGACAUCCUGGAAGCUGUGAUGGCACAACCUGUGCACCCAAGCCUCAUCAUACCUAAUGGCAGCAGUCCAUAGCUGACCCAGCUAUGUCCCAACCAGAGCUGUGGCACACCAAAGACACUGUGUCUAGUCAGCGGACAACCAGCACUCCUGAUCAUGAGGACGCAACUGUGGGCAAGUGACAAGACCACAGUCCUUUGCAUUGUCAUCAGUCACAUGAGCCCUGAUGCUGAAAUGUUGGGCUGCACUGAAACAUUUUGCCCAUGUGGCAUGAGGGGAAUAAUCUUCCUCUCCUUGUAGAUUUGCAUGUCAGAAGAAACCCUCCUAAUCACCUUCUCCCACCUCAUGUGGCAAAACAGAGACUGGAGAAUGUCAUGCACCAGCUUCUCUCUUCCUCACACCCACAACUUCUGUUUGAUAGGAGUAUCUCCCUUAGAAGAACCUUUUGUCAGGUGUUAUCUUCACUGCUUCUCUGAGAGAUAAAUUCAUUCAUGGCUGAGAGUCAGUGAGAUCAUAGGAAAACAUUGUCUUGCUAUCUGGAAAUGUCACCAAAAUGUCAUCCCGCUGCGUGCGGACAUCACUUUGGAACAGAAGGCACCAAAGCUGACCCUGAGACCCUGCAUGUCAUUAAAUGGUCUCCCAGGGGAGCUCAUCACACACAGCCCCUCCCCCCCUCAACUGGUAGGCCUGACAGCGGAGGGUGACAGAAGACAGCUACUUCAUUCUACAGUCCACUGGAUUGCCUUCCAUGCCCCAGGCAUCUAUGGAAGAUUAAACUACAACCAUGCCAGCAUUUGGUUUGGGUCCACAAGGAAAGCUAAAUGGCAAGUCUAAGCUGGAGCAGAACCAAAGAGACUCAACUCCCAUGUCCUGCUCCAGCCAUGGAGUGAAUCCACCCAGAUCCAAGGACAGCAAUCUUAGGAUGGCCCAAGGAGGGCAUGCCUCCUUCGUACUGCCAAAGCCAGCUUGAAAAACCCUCCUCCCUCCCAAAACCCAGAGGCCCUUGGCUGGCAAAAGCGAGUAUCAGGUCUUACCAGGAGGAGGCGGCAAGCUGCCCAAAUCCACUGCCUGGCCCUUACCCAGAGUUUCCAACAUGGGGUCGAGGCUCUGAAAGACAGCCCAAGGAACAAAGGCUCCUGCCCUGCCAGACAGCUUCUUAGUGUUACCCCAAGCACUCACCUUGAGGCCUCUCUCAUAUCGACG